GGGAUUAUAGUUAAUUAUAACAUUUAAUUUGCACUUAAAAAGUAUUGAAAUUUUCAAUUUUUCUCA
rnacentral:tRNA from 1 species